UUACCUUUUCAGAUCUGUUGUCCCCUUGUGUUCUAUGUACUCACUGAUCUGACGCUGUCUGCUCUCACUACUCUGUGCUGUUGUCACUAAUCUGUGCUGACUGUGUUGCAGUGAAAUAUGGGUGCAGUGACCAUUUUGCCACGGGCAGCAUGUUUAUGAUAGUUGCAUCUUUUUAAACAGUGCGUACGUUGAGAAGUUCUUUCGUUUGAUAUCUGGCUGUCAAAAGCCGCACACAUUAUGCUGGCGCGGGUACCUCAUGGUUUCAUGUAUUUUAUAGGUGUUCCAGGCUCAUGGAAUGGAGGUGACGAAUACAACGGCUGUCCUGUGGGUCAUUUGUUGGCACUUCGGCUUAGCUGCAGCAACGAUCCUAUUUCAGUGUACCUCGGAAACGUUCCUUCCUGCUACCCACAGCCGUCUACCACCCCACACGUGUGUAAAGUACUGGUUGCAUUUGGAGCACCCAAGCACGGACCCAGAGACAGAGGCAAUACUUACAGCUACCAGUGAUAUAAGUGCUGCGAUUUGUGUACAUGUACAUUACUAUCUGCUUUGGAAGAGUACCAAGAUUUGCUGGUAUGUGACUGUGCAAUAAGGGGAAGUGCUCACAAUGUCUGCUGACUUGUCGACAUGUUUGGAAGUCAGUGUUUGCCCGGUAUAUUCAUAGAAAUAAAUCUUGUACCAACAUC